GAUGAACGCUGGCGGCGUGCUUAACACAUGCAAGUCGAACGGAAAGGCCCCAGCUUGCUGGGGUACUCGAGUGGCGAACGGGUGAGUAACACGUGGGUGAUCUGCCCUGCACUUUGGGAUAAGCUUGGGACACUGGGUCUAAUACCGAAUAUGACCACUUCUUGGAUGUUGUGGUGGAAAGCUUUUGCGGUGUGGGAUGUGCCUGCGGCCUAUCCGCUUGUUGGUGGGGUAAUGGCCUACCAAGGCGGCGACGGGUAUCCGGCCUGAGAGGGUGUACGGACACAUUGGGACUGAGAUACGGCCCAGACUCCUACGGGAGGCAGCAGUGGGGAAUAUUGCACAAUGGGCGCAAGCCUGAUGCAGCGACGCCGCGUGGGGGAUGAAGGCCUUCGGGUUGUAAACUCCUUUCGCUAUCGACGAAGCCACUUGUGGUGACGGUAGGUAGAUAAGAAGCACCGGCUAACUACGUGCCAGCCGCCGCAGUAA
rnacentral:rRNA from 1 species